rnacentral:rRNA from 1 species
UCUUGGUUCAAUUAGAGGAAGUAAAAGUCGUAACAAGGUCUCCGUUGGUGAACCAGCGGAGGGAUCAUUACUGAGUUACCGCUCUAUAACCCUUUGUGAACAUACCUAACCGUUGCUUCGGCGGGCAGGGGAAGCCUCUCGCGGGCCUCCCCUCCCGGCGCCGGCCCCCACCACGGGGACGGGGCGCCCGCCGGAGGAAACCAAACUCUAUUUACACGACGUCUCUUCUGAGUGGCACAAGCAAAUAAUUAAAACUUUUAACAACGGAUCUCUUGGUUCUGGCAUCGAUGAAGAACGCAGCGAAAUGCGAUAAGUAAUGUGAAUUGCAGAAUUCAGUGAAUCAUCGAAUCUUUGAACGCACAUUGCGCUCGCCAGCAUUCUGGCGAGCAUGCCUGUUCGAGCGUCAUUUCAACCCUCAAGCACCGCUUGGUUUUGGGGCCCCACGGCACACGUGGGCCCUUAAAGGUAGUGGCGGACCCUCCCGGAGCCUCCUUUGCGUAGUAACUAACGUCUCGCACUGGGAUCCGGAGGGACUCUUGCCGUAAAACCCCCAAAUUUUUUACAGGUUGACCUCGGAUCAGGUAGGAAUACCCGCUGAACUUAAGCAUAUCAAUAGCCCGGAGGAA